rnacentral:rRNA from 1 species
UGAUUAAGUAAGGAAGGGCGUACGGAGGAUGCCUUGCCACUCGAAACUGAAGAAGGACGUGCCAAACUGCGAAAUGCGGCGGUGAGCUGUAAGGAAGCGAAGACCCGCCGAUCUCCGAAUGGGGGAACCCGGCCGGCCACACAGCCGGUCACCGCACGGUGAACACAUAGCCGUGCAGGGAGGUACCCGGUGAACUGAAACAUCUAAGUAACCGGAGGAAAAGAAAACAACAGUGAUUCCCUGAGUAGCGGCGAGCGAAAGGGGAGAAGCCCAAACCGGUCUUUGGACCGGGGUUGAAGGACCGCGGGAUGACAAGAAGGAGCAUAGACGAACGCGAUUGAAAGCGCGACCGAAGAAGGUGCAAGUCCUGUAGUCGAAAUGGUCCGGAAGUCUAGCGGGAUCCUGAGUACGGCGAGACACGAGGAAUCUUGUCGGAAGCAGGCGGGACCAUCCGCCAAGGCUAAAUAUAAACGAGUGAGCGAUAGUGAACCAGUACCGUGAGGGAAAGGUGAAAAGAACCGCGGGAGCGGAGUGAAAGAGAACCUGAAACCGUAUGCCUACAAGAAGUCAGAGCCCGUUAAAGGGUGAUGGCGUGCCUUUUGUAGAAUGAACCGGCGAGUUACGGAAAGAUGCGAGGUUAAGUCGGAAAGGACGGAGCCGCAGCGAAAGCGAGUCUGAAGAGGGCGAGAGUAGACUUCCGUAGACCCGAAACCGGGUGAUCUAGCCAUGAGCAGGUUGAAGUUGAGGUGAAACUCAAUGGAGGACCGAACCGACCACCGUUGAAAAGUUGGCGGAUGACUUGUGGCUAGCGGAGAAAUUCCAAUCGAACCCGGAGAUAGCUGGUUCUCCCCGAAAUAGCUUUAGGGCUAGCGUCGGAAUGAACCCAUGUGAAGGUAGAGCACUGAAUGUGUGAUGGCCCCAUCCCGGGGUACUGAAUACAAUCAAACUCCGAAUGUCAUGUGGGAUGUCCGGCAGUCAGACUGUGAGUGAUAAGGUCCAUGGUCGAGAGGGAAACAGCCCAGACCGCCAGUUAAGGUCCCAAAAUGCAGGCUAAGUGGAAAAGGAUGUGGGGAUGCCCAGACAACUAGGAGGUUGGCUCAGAAGCAGCCACCCUUUAAAGAGUGCGUAACAGCUCACUAGUCGAGUGACCCUGCGCCGAAAAUGUACCGGGGCUAAGCCUGAUACCGAAACUGCGGAAUCGAAUGAUUGGUAGGGGAGCGUUGUAUACGGGUGGAAGCCGUACCGUGAGGAGCGGUGGACUGUAUAGAAGUGAGAAUGCCGGUGUGAGUAGCGAGAUGUAGGUGAGAAUCCUACACACCGAAAGCCCAAGGAUUCCAGGGGAAGGUUCGUCCGCCCUGGGUAAGUCGGGACCUAACGCGAGGCCGAAAGGCGUAGUGGAUGGAAAGCAGGCGGAGAUUCCUGCACCCGUAUGUGGAGCGAUGGAGUGACGGAGACGGCUAAUGUGACCCUCUUAACGGAUUGAGGGCGAAGCGGGGUAGCGGUCGACCAGGCAAAUCCGGUCGGCAAAACGCGAAGACGUGACAGGGAAGCGAACGCUUUGGCAAGUAGCGAAGCACAUGAGGCCGGCUUCCAAGAAAAGCUUCUGGCAAUGCACAUGCGGCCCGUACCAAAACCGACACAGGUGGGCAGGUAGAGGAUACCAAGGUGAGCGAGAGAACUGUUGCCAAGGAACUCGGCAAAAUGGCUCCGUACGUUCGCAAGAAGGAGCGCUUAUGAAAAUAAGCCGCAGUGAAUAGGCCCAAGCGACUGUUUAACUAAAACACAGCUCUCUGCGAAGUCGCAAGACGAAGUAUAGGGGGUGACACCUGCCCGGUGCCGGAAGGUUAAGAGGAUCUGUCAAUCGCAAGAUGAAGCAGUGAGUUGAAGCCCCGGUGAACGGCGGCCGUAACUAUAACGGUCCUAAGGUAGCGAAAUUCCUUGUCAGGUAAGUUCUGACCCGCACGAAAGGUGUAACGAUUUGGGCGCUGUCUCGGCAGCAGGCUCGGUGAAAUCUUAGUACCUGUGAAAAUGCAGGUUACCCGCAACUAGACGGAAAGACCCCAUGGAGCUUUACUGUAGCCUGGUAUUGGAUUUUGGUCAGACAUGUACAGGAUAGGUGGGAGACUGUGAGACGUGCACGCCAGUGUACGAGGAGUCGCCGUUGGGAUACCACUCUUGUGUGAUCGGAGUUCUAACCUGGUGGCCUGAACCGGCCAUAGGGAGAGUGCCAGGUGGGCAGUUUGACUGGGGCGGUCGCCUCCCAAAGAGUAACGGAGGCGCCCAAAGGUACGCUCAGAUUGGAUGGAAACCAAUCGCCGAGUGCAAAUGCAGAAGCGUGCUUGACUGUGAGAGCAACAACUCGAACAGGGACGAAAGUCGGGAUUAGUGAUCCGGCGGUGCCGAAUGGAAGGGCCGUCGCUCAACGGAUAAAAGCUACCCUGGGGAUAACAGGCUGAUCUCGCCCAAGAGUUCACAUCGACGGCGAGGUUUGGCACCUCGAUGUCGGCUCAUCGCAUCCUGGAGCUGGAUUCGGUUCCAAGGGUUGGGCUGUCCGCCCAUUAAAGCGGUACGCGAGCUGGGUUCAGAACGUCGUGAGACAGUUCGGUCCCUAUCUGUUGUGGGCGAAGGAGAUUUGAGGAGAGCUGCCCUUAGUACGAGAGGACCGGGGUGGACCUACCGCUGGUGCACCAGUUGUAUCGCCAGAUGCAUAGCUGGGUAGCUAAGUAGGGAAGGGAUAAGCGCUGAAAGCAUCUAAGCACGAAGCCUACUCCAAGAUGAGAUCUCCCAUUCGCAAGAAGUAAGACCCCUUGAAGACGACGAGGUAGAUAGGCCAGGGAUGGAAGUGCAGCGAUGCAUGGAGUUGACUGGUACUAAUCGGUCGAGGACUUAAUCAG